rnacentral:lncRNA from 1 species
UAAAGAAAGACUUAUCAAAAUGCUCAUUGCUCACAAAGGAGACCAAAACAAAAUAUGAGAUAAAGAUCUCGAAGCACUGUUUCACGAUUUGAGAAGUUGGGUUCGAUCCAAAGCAGGUUUCGCGCUUUCACAACGCUCACUAGGCAAUUGAGUGGAUAUCUUGUGGCUCUCUGGACAACUGGUCAUCCAACAGCAAUGGCAUUACUUUUGAGAAUAAUCCACCAGAGACUAAAGAAGAUUAUUAAUCAAUUCGUGACAAUGUAAAGCUUGCAGAAGCUCUGGAGAAGCGAGAGGAACGUCGAGGAAUAAACUUGAAGGAUAUCUCUCGCAUUGGAGGACAAAAAUAGGGUUCAAAUUCAGGAAAGAUGUGAGAAUUUAAAUCCA